AAAGACCCUAGUUAUAGGUACGGCGUAAAGGGUGGUUAGGGGACAAGCAAAAUAAAGCCAAAGACCUCCUAAGCCGUCAUACGCUCACGGAGGCACGAAGCCCAAACACGAAAGUAGCUUUACCAAACAUGCCCGACUCCACGAAAGCUGGGAAACAAACUGGGAUUAGAUACCCCACUAUGCCCAGCCCUAAACUUAGAUGAAAUCUUACAAAAUCAUCCGCCAGGGAACUACAAGCACA
rnacentral:rRNA from 1 species